AAUUCUCUUAGCACAUCAGCUCCUGGAAACAAAUGCACUUAACCAGAAAAACAGGGACAUCAACCAGCAAAGAUGCAUCCUCAUUUAAUAGAGCUUGAAAUUACUAUAAUCUGUAAAGUACAGCGAGAAGAAGAAGUUUCACCUGCCUGCACAUCUGUCGUUGACUCUCCAUCUGACUUGGAGGGACUCUGAGGGACCAACCUGAGCCUGAGAAGAGGCAAGAUUCCCCUUCAAGGACACACUGGGAACUUACGGACCUCUUUCUCCAUGGUGCAGAGCGCAGAGGUGAACAAACAGACGCAUAAUAGCUCUUGAGCUUGCCAUUGGGAAGUGAAAAUCAACUGCUUGAAUAAAUGUAAGGACUCAGACCUCUGCAUUCUGGCAAUCAACUGACCUCACCUGGAAUCACGAGUCAUGACUGAACCGGUCCUGUGGCCCCACCUGGGGAUAAACUCAGCACACAAGGAUCAUUUUCCACACCUCUAUGAUUUCAUAGGCAACCAAUCAACGGCACCCAUUUUUUAGCCUCCUGCUCGCCAAAGCAUCUUUGAAAAAUCCUAACCUCCAAGCCUUCGGGGAGACUGAUUUGAGUAAUAACUCUGUUCCCUGCAUGGCUGGUCUAGUGUCAAUUAAACUCUUUCUUUACUGCCAUACCAUAGUCUCAGCGAAUUGGUUUUGUCUGUGCAAUGGGCAGGAAGAACGUGUCUGGUGAGCAUCUCCACACAUUCAGAAAUUGUCCAUCUAAGACAAUGGAGUUAUUUUCACCCUCAACAAAUGCCUCAACUCUGUGACAUUUUAAGCAAAUCUUAACUUUGACUUAUGAAUUCAAGAAGGAAAAAAAAAAAGUAAGAAAAUGUUGAUUGUAAUAUUUCCUCUGAACGUCCUUCCCCUGGGGACAGGCUCCCUUGCUGUUGUGUGGUCACUGUUCCCAUUAACCUAACGAAAUCUACACUUGCAAAUGAAGUCCUGGGGUCCACACUAAAUGUUCACAGUCUGGCCACAUGCUAAUAUUCCAUGUGCUAGCCCAUAUCUUUAAAUAGACUCAUGGAAAUGUGUUAAAUGAUAUAACAGAAUAAAAAUCAAGCUUAACUUAAA
ensembl:lncRNA LINC00507 long intergenic non-protein coding RNA 507